rnacentral:sRNA from 1 species
GACAUGGAGCAGGAGCCGCCCCCAGCCAGGCUGCUUUCAGCACAGCGUGGGCCCCCAGCACCUUUGUGCGGGGUGUGGCCCCUCAGAGGAGGGCUGUCAGGUACAAUGGCUUGGUGACUGGCACGAGGGCUAAGGGCAUCAUUGCCAUCUGCUGGGUGCUGUCGUUUGCCAUCGGCCUGACUCCCAUGCUGGGUUGGAACAACUGCGGUCAGCCAAAGGAGGGCAAGAACCACUCCCAGGGCUGCGGGGAGGGCCAGGUGGCCUGUCUCUUUGAGGAUGUGGUCCCCAUGAACUACAUGGUGUACUUCAACUUCUUUGCCUGUGUGCUUGUGCCCCUGCUGCUCAUGCUGGGUGUCUAUUUGCGGAUCUUCCUGGCGGCGCGACGACAGCUGAAGCAGAUGGAGAGCCAGCCUCUGCCGGGGGAGCGGGCACGGUCCACACUGCAGAAGGAGGUCCAUGCUGCCAAGUCACUGGCCAUCAUUGUGGGGCUCUUUGCCCUCUGCUGGCUGCCCCUACACAUCAUCAACUGCUUCACUUUCUUCUGCCCCGACUGCAACCACGCCCCUCUCUGGCUCAUGUACCUGGCCAUCAUCCUCUCCCACACCAAUUCGGUUGUGAAUCCUUUCAUCUACGCCUACCGUAUCCGCGAGUUCCGCCAGACCUUCCGCAAGAUCAUUCGCAGCCACGUCCU